GCCGGGAUGGCGAAAUGGCAAACGCAGGAGACUUAAAAUCUCCCGGGGCAACCCUUGCCGGUUCGAGUCCGGCUCCCGGCA
rnacentral:tRNA from 1 species